rnacentral:rRNA from 1 species
GACGAACGCUGGCGGCGUGCUUAACACAUGCAAGUCGAACGGAGUGGCGAACGGGUGAGUAACACGUGGGUGAUCUGCCUUGCACUUCGGGAUAAGCUCGGGAAACUGGGUCUAAUACCGGAUAGUGCAAGAUGAGCUCGCGGCCUAUCAGCUUGUGGGUGGGGUAAUGGCCUACCAAGGCAUCGACGGGUAGCCGGCCUGAGAGGGGGUACGGCCACAUUGGGCCUGAGUUACGGCCCAGACGCCUACGGUAGGCAGCAGUGGGGAAUAUUGCACAAUGGUGGGAAGCCUGAUGCAGCGACGCCGCGUGGGUGAUGAAGGCCUUCGGGUUGUAAACUCCUUUCGACAGGGACGCGGUACCUGUAUAAGAAGCACCGGCUAACUCCGUGCCAGCAGCCGCGGUAAUUC